rnacentral:rRNA from 1 species
GAGUUUGAUCAUGGCUCAGAUUGAACGCUGGCGGCAUGCCUUACACAUGCAAGUCGAACGGUAGAGUAGCAAUACUCGAGAGUGGCGAACGGGUGAGUAAUAUAUCGGAACGUGCCCAGUCGUGGGGGAUAACGUAGAGAAAUUUACGCUAAUACCGCAUACGAUCUACGGAUGAAAGCGGGGGAUUCGCAAGAACCUCGCGCGAUUGGAGCGGCUGAUAUCAGAUUAGGUUGUUGGUGAGGUAAAAGCUCACCAAGCCGACGAUCUGUAGCUGGUUUGAGAGAACGACCAGCCACACUGGGACUGAGACACGGCCCAGACUCCUACGGGAGGCAGCAGUGGGGAAUUUUGGACAAUGGGCGAAAGCCUGAUCCAGCAAUGCCGCGUGCAGGAAGAAGGCCUUCGGGUUGUAAACUGCUUUUGUACGGAACGAAAAAGUCCUUUCUAAUAAAGAGGGCUCAUGACGGUACCGUAAGAAUAAGCACCGGCUAACUACGUGCCAGCAGCCGCGGUAAUACGUAGGGUGCGAGCGUUAAUCGGAAUUACUGGGCGUAAAGCGUGCGCAGGCGGUUCUAUAAGACAGAUGUGAAAUCCCCGGGCUCAACCUGGGAAUGGCAUUUGUGACUGUAGAGCUAGAGUACGGUAGAGGGGGAUGGAAUUCCGCGUGUAGCAGUGAAAUGCGUAGAUAUGCGGAGGAACACCGAUGGCGAAGGCAAUCCCCUGGACCUGUACUGACGCUCAUGCACGAAAGCGUGGGGAGCAAACAGGAUUAGAUACCCUGGUAGUCCACGCCCUAAACGAUGUCAACUGGUUGUUGGGUGCAUUAGUACUCAGUAACGAAGCUAACGCGUGAAGUUGACCGCCUGGGGAGUACGGCCGCAGUGAACUCAAGGAUGACGGGGACCCGCACAGCGUGAUGAUGUGUUUAUCGAUGCAUCGCGAAAUACUACUAGCUUUGACAUGUACGGAAUCGCAGAGAUGGCUAUGCUCGAAGAGAAACGGUAACACAGGUGCUGCCAUGCUGUCUUCAUCUUCUGUCUGGGAGAGUGUGGGGUUAGUUC